rnacentral:sRNA from 1 species
GAUUAGCCCCGAUUGCAGCGACAUCCUUUUUCUGCGCCGGCUUGAAAAAGCGAUGGCGAAAAAGAUAUAGCGGAAAGCGGGAAAUAGC